rnacentral:lncRNA from 1 species
AUGUUCUGAAGGUGCCAUCAUUUGAGAUAGACGCUAUGUACUUCCACAUACCUCAGAGAAUGAGUUGGAUAAGUAACAAAGUAGACAAUGUCUGGGGCAAGUAUAUCCUCCUCCUCGUCAGUCCAGUGUGGCCGUUCCUGGCUGAUCUCUCAAAAGGAAAAACACUGUACCUUCUCUGGGAUGCUAAAAGCUGAGAAUGAAUAAAUGACUGAGAAAGAAAGCCAGCAACGGAAGACAACGGCAGUACAAUGGAUGUGGUAAUAAACCAAAUCGGUAGUUUCGGCGAGAGCAGAGUUAAUGACUCCUAGAGGCUCCAUUUUUACAGUCAGUGCCAAGAGGACAAAAAGAGAACCACCAAAGGGAGACCGGCCUGGAGUACACACCAGAUUCCAGAUUAGCCAGAUCAGCGUAAUGACACCCUGUCUCAAAAACAGCUAAAAAGUUAGGAGAGGCUUCCUGUACUAUGGAGAGCUGUUGCGCCUGGACUGAGAGGUGGGAAGUAGCGAAGGAAGAAGACGUGAGGAGAAAGAGGAAGGAGUGAAAGUGGUAGCUGAGAAAACAGAACAGAACAAAACAAAACUCUAUGUACCAGCCUCGCAGCCUACGAGCGAGCGCUCUGUCUCCGCACUCCUGCCUGACCCGCAUCUAUUUUUACACAUCUGCGGAGCUUGUUUUCCCCGCCUCUGGUUUAUGCUAUCCACGGAGAACUGCUGGUACUUGAGUUCAUUGUCUCUCCCCUGCUGGAUGCUCCGUGGCAGAGGCUCCCUGUGACCAUCUGAUGGCUCCCCCUUGCAGAAGGCCACCUGCCCAUCAUAGACAAGUGUCAGAACUGGGUUUUCUUCAACAACAGACAUUUGUUAGGCUUAGUAGUUUUCAUUAAGUCUAUUGUUUCUCAUUAUUUUCAAAUUUAAAUGUUGGUUCAUUUUG